GGAGGAAGUGCGUCUCUGUCUCGAUCUCUCCUGUCUCACAGUGAGCACACACUCUCUGCUCUCUGGGUAACCAGCUCUUUCUGUGUCUGCCGGUCUCGAUGGCUAAACUGUGCUCACUGAGCCUGUACUUGCUCAGGAUCCGUCUCUGCUUUGUGUCUCUGACACUCUGGAGAUAAUCUUCCAAUUCAUAAUUUGAUUUUAGGGUUCGAUAGAAUUGUAAUUUACUUUGUGUUUUAGUUUCUUGAUCCCAAUGUUCCAGAUAUGUAUUUUUAGAUUGUUUGAUAAUUUGAUUUAUUUUGAUGUUUGGAUGAGAAGCAGUGCUGGUUUGAGACUGGAUAGUGUUAGUAGAGUUAGUCAGGUUAGUAAGUCUCAGAACUAGCUGACUGAGUGGACUCUUUUCGGGGUUCAGUUCUUGGGUUUGUAUUGCUUUAAAAUUUUAAAUCUCUCUCAGAUCU